rnacentral:lncRNA from 1 species
GUGAAAUCUGCCACCUACUGAUCUGGAGUGGCUUUCUGCUUUCUUUGUCUCUACUUGCCCUCUAUCUUUAGGGGCCAGUAUGCAAACCAACACACACAUUGAGAGCCUCCUUCUUUUAAACUGUACCUGGGGAGCCCACCUAAAGACAGAUUUGUUGCACCAGAUUGCUAAAGUGAUCUCUAAGGACUGUUUUUGCUCCAAGAGUAGGUGACUUCAGGAUCAGGUAAGUCCUUUUCUUCAUUUUUGGCCACAAUAUUAUUUUUCUUAUUUUGGAUGCUCUUUAAACAUUUAUGUGGACUCGCUUUAUAAUAGGAGUUGAUUUUGUAUUGUAAUUUUAUAAUUUGUAAUUUUAUCAUCAAUAGUGACUUGACUUCAGAAACUUUCUGGAAAUGAGACACAGUUUUUCUUGAGUAUUUGCCAAUAUCCAACAAGAAAGAAUAAUAAUAUAAGUUUAUGACUCCAAGAUGAAGAGGCUCUAACAUUUGCAGAGUAAUAG